UACGUAGGGGGCAAGCGUUAUCCGGAAUUAUUGGGCGUAAAGGGAGCGUAGGCGGACCUUUAAGUGAGAUGUGAAAUACUCGGGCUCAACUUGAGUGCUGCAUUUCAAACUGGAAGUCUAGAGUGCAGGAGAGGAGAAUGGAAUUCCUAGUGUAGCGGUGAAAUGCGUAGAGAUUAGGAAGAACACCAGUGGCGAAGGCGAUUCUCUGGACUGUAACUGACGCUGAGGCUCGAAAGCGUGGGGAGCAAACAGG
rnacentral:rRNA from 1 species